CCCGCCGGACCUGACUGCUAUCGGAUUGAUACUAAGCCAUGCGAGUCAUUGUAGCAAUACAAGGCAGACGGCUCAGUAACGCGUAGUCAACCUAACCUAUGGACGGGAAUAACCUCGGGAAACUGAGAAUAAUGCCCGAUAGAACACUAUGCCUGGAAUGGUUUGUGUUCCAAAUGAUUUAUCGCCGUAGGAUGGGACUGCGGCCUAUCAGUUUGUUGGUGAGGUAAUGGCCCACCAAGACUAUUACAGGUACGGGCUCUGAGAGGAGUAGCCCGGAGAUGGGUACUGAGACACGGACCCAGGCCCUAUGGGGCGCAGCAGGCGAGAAAACUUUGCAAUGUGCGAAAGCACGACAAGGUUAAUCCGAGUGGUUUCUGCUAAAGGAACCUUUUGUCGGUCCUAGAAACACCGAUGAAUAAGGGGUGGGCAAGUUCUGGUGUCAGCCGCCGCGGUAAAACCAGCACCUCAAGUGGUCAGGAUGAUUAUUGGGCCUAAAGCAUCCGUAGCCUGCUUUGUUAGUUUUCGGUUAAAUCUAUACGCUCAACGUAUAGGCUGCCGGGAAUACUGCAAAGCUAGGGAGUGGGAGAGGUAGACGGUACUCGGUAGGAAGGGGUAAAAUCCUUUGAUCUAUUGAUGACCACCUGUGGCGAAGGCGGUCUACCAGAACACGUCCGACGGUGAGGGAUGAAAGCUGGGGGAGCAAACCGGAUUAGAUACCCGGGUAGUCCCAGCCGUAAACCAUGCAAACUCAGUGAUGCAUUGGCUUGUGGCCAAUGCAGUGCUGCAGGCAGCCGUUUAGUUUGCCGCCUGGGAAGUACGUACGCAAGUAUGAAACUUAAAGGAAUUGGCGGGGGAGCACCACAA
rnacentral:rRNA from 1 species